rnacentral:sRNA from 2 species
GCCAAGACUGGCAUUUAAGCCCCAGUGUUGAUAUUUCCUCUUGUGUGCAAAAGUUUGAAACAAAACUCCUCAAGAACUCUAAGAGAUAUAAGCGGACAUAUCAAAACUGGAGCUCAAAUGGUUCCAACCUAUAUUGCUAGCGAUUAUGGGGCGUAUUGUAACAUAUAUUUCUAUAUUUGCGUGCAAGGAAAGACUUGUACUAUAUGUAUUCAACAACGGAUUGCUGGUAUGAAAUGAGUAAGAUUCGAUUUGAUUAUGAGAUAAAAUAGUAAAAAAUAAUUACUAGAGCUCUGAUUACUCCAGCUACAGAUUUUGCUACUAAUUUAUAUCUGUAAUAGAUAUUGAAGUAGGGAAUACGAAUGGUAUAUACGUAAUAGCAAGAGAAUAAGAAAGAGAGAGAGACGUAAAGCUACUUACUAUCUAAGAAUAAGUAACUAUAAGUAUCUCAUAAUUAAGACCUGAUCGAGUUUGAAGGGCA